GAACAAACAAAAAGAGCCUCCUCUUGUUAUUUCUCUCUGAUUGCUGGCUGGAGCGGUUCCAGUCUCAGGUCAAGCCCGUGGAAUGAGUCUGUCAGGUAGUCUGUUAUGUUUCCUACUUCCUCCCCUGCCGUCAUGUCACUUCCCUGGGCAAACAAACAACUUGGCGGUCCAAAACUCAACACACCGACCGCCAAGGUUACAACGUAAAAGGCUCAGUGUGUGUGGACGGCGCCCAGGGCUUGCACAGCUGCGUAAAGUAUUAUCCAUUUGCUGGGACUGAGGCAGAGUGUGGGGUGGCGGGCAGGCGUGUACGGCGCCGGACGAAGAAUGGACCAGACUCGCCGAGGGACGGGUGCCAUGUGGCAGAGGAUGUGCGGGGACACAGAUGGGGACCCCUGGAAAACUUGGGGGACCGCGCGAGCGGCCAAGGGCCUCCCAUCAGUACCUGCGCUGUGAAUGCUGCAGCUGAACACGGAUCCGGCACCUGUUCUAAGCAGAUACAGGCGGCAGGCAAAGGAGUUGAGGGAGGCCAGCACACACGGCUGCCAACCCAGGGAAGGAGAAGGCUAGAUUUCCAUUUACCCAUAAGCGCACCCUGAUUACUAAACCAGCACAGACAGAAAAGCUGGUGCCCUGCUGCAGAAUGCAGUUGUUCUUUUUUCAGAUGCAGGAGCAUUUUAGUAAACUCCCCAUAAAAAACAUUUCAAUAAGAGCUUUCUGGUUGUGUAUUCAUUUUUAAAAAGUCUGGAAAACUUGGGUUUAGAAAUUCAAACAACCUUUUUAGGCUGAUUUAUAAUUUUUUUUAGAUAAGCAAAUCAAAAUCGCAGUGCAUUUCCUAUUGUCACAGCCUAACCUCCUGCGAUUGCUCUCGCUCUCUCUCAGAUAGCAUAUAGCUCACACGGGUCCCCACUAUGUUCGCUGCGGCGCUACUUGGUUUGUUUUUGACUGCUGUAGAUUCUCCCAGGGGUGGCGUAACUCUUCACCUCGAUGUGGAGGAGGAUGUUCCUAUUGUGCUUCCUAAUUGCAAUGUGGUUGUUCCAUUUAAGAGAUAGAACGUCCUUAUCUGUUCCGUGUGCGAUCUCGUAUUAUGUGGGAAUAUCCCUGCGAGAGCCAUUGUGUCUAUUUUGAUGAAGAUUUUUAAAUUGAGCUAAUUACAACUUUGAUGUAAU
rnacentral:lncRNA from 1 species